rnacentral:rRNA from 1 species
CAGUAGCCACGGUAAUACGUAGGGUGCAAGCGUUAUCCGGAAUUAUUGGGCGUAAAGAGCUCGUAGGCGGUUUGUCGCGUCUGCUGUGAAAACUGGAGGCUCAACCUCCAGCCUGCAGUGGGUACGGGCAGACUAGAGUGCGGUAGGGGAGAUUGGAAUUCCUGGUGUAGCGGUGGAAUGCGCAGAUAUCAGGAGGAACACCGAUGGCGAAGGCAGAUCUCUGGGCCGUAACUGACGCUGAGGAGCGAAAGCGUGGGGAGCGAACAGGAUUAGAUACCCCUGUAGUCCCUGUCUCUUAUAC